AGCGAACGCUGGCGGCAGGCCUAAUACAUGCAAGUCGAGCGCACCUUCGGGUGAGCGGCGGACGGGUGAGUAACGCGUGGGAACGUGCCCUUUGGUACGGAACAACUGAGGGAAACUUCAGCUAAUACCGUAUGUGCCCUUCGGGGGAAAGAUUUAUCGCCAUUGGAGCGGCCCGCGUUGGAUUAGCUAGUUGGUGGGGUAAAAGCCCACCAAGGCGACGAUCCAUAGCUGGUCUGAGAGGAUGAUCAGCCACACUGGGACUGAGACACGGCCCAGACUCCUACGGGAGGCAGCAGUAGGGAAUCUUGCGCAAUGGGCGAAAGCCUGACGCAGCCAUGCCGCGUGAAUGAUGAAGGUCUUAGGAUUGUAAAAUUCUUUCACCGGGGAAGAUAAUGACGGUACCCGGAGAAGAAGCCCCGGCUAACUUCGUGCCAGCCGCCGCAGUAAUAC
rnacentral:rRNA from 1 species